UACGAAGGGGGCUAGCGUUGUUCGGAAUUACUGGGCGUAAAGCGCACGUAGGCGGACUGUUAAGUCAGGGGUGAAAUCCUGGAGCUCAACUCCAGAACUGCCUUUGAUACUGAUGGUCUCGAGUCCGGAAGAGGUGAGUGGAAUUCCGAGUGUAGAGGUGAAAUUCGUAGAUAUUCGCAAGAACACCAGUGGCGAAGGCGGCUCACUGGCCCGAUACUGACGCUGAGGCACGAAAGCGUGGGGAGCAAACAGG
rnacentral:rRNA from 1 species